AAGGCUCAAGAAAUGCUGAAGAACAAUGAGAUUACCAACCCGGUUGCUACCAUGAAUUUAGAUUUGGGUUGAGGCCACAGCUUGGAUUGGUUUCCUCUCAUAUUCAUCAUCAAAUUGCUUUCUGCAGUCUCCAAGUCAAAUAUUCCUAAGAGGAAGAAGAUAUACAGCCGUAAAAAAAGAACCAAGCAUUGGAUAUCGACGAGCCAAACGCCACCAUCCUCACCAUUAAAACAAUAUAAACUAUAGCUUCAGGAGACCGGAAAGGUGGUUUCUAUUUACCUUUUUGGGCUCUAAAGACUUAUUACAGUUAUUAGUUUUUGCUGAAGAAGAUGAGCAGAGUUGUUCUUAAACUCAUGUUUAUAGCGUUAAACUCACUUCAAGCACUGAAAUUCAUUCAUCCAUCGCCAUUCGCUUCACCUUUCUUGCGAAGUUCAUUGAAAUUACCACCCCACCUACUACAAUUUUCACAGAGCUCUUUAGGUUCCAAAACUUCGGACAUCUGACGUCAUUGGCAAAGACAAAUACUCAGUUUCCAGACAUCAGCCUCAUCAAGACAACCUUCAAUGACGAUGCCCAGACAACUCCCUUAUAGCCAUUUAUUUUCCUUCGAGGAAGGUUCACAAUCUUUUGCUACUGUGGCAUAAUCCAGGUGCUUCGAAAUUAUAUGAUUAUAUUUUCAAUGCGACUGCUUGAUUCUAUGAUUUCUUUCAUUUUGGAAUAACAAACCUUCUUAGUCAGUGUUAGAUUUGAAAGCCCGAUCACUUUUUUUUGUUUGGUUUUGUGUUCAUAAGUUGAAAACCGUAAGAACUACGCUUCAAAUGAUUCAAAACCAGAAACAAGUGACAAAGAUGAAUUAAGUAACAUCAACGGGUCAGAGCGAGAACGAUAAGAACAAUCAGCGGACGACAGAAAGUAAAACCAGGAAGAAACCAAGACUCUAGAUUCAGCAAAGCUUGAAAAGAGAUUACAGAUCAACACUCAAGUCCUGAUUUUGGUUUACAAGGUCAUCAACAGCACGCUAAUCCCAUGACAUCUGUAAGGAAGAUACAAGGAGACCAGAAAGCCUCAAGAGGAACAAUCACUCACUAGAUGAAUCAAGAGCACAAAGUUGUAGAGAUAUUCUUAAGUAACGACAUGAUUAUCGUCCAUCAAUGUCUGC